AGGGGACUGCAGGGAGCGGGCUGACAAGAAGAACCUAACUGGAGGGGGCAGAUGGGGCAGGGUCAUCUAUGAUGAGAAAAAGGAGCUUCUGCUCAGACAUCACUGGGUCAUUUUCUCGAGAGGGUAGACAGAGUUGAAUCCACCAAAAAACCUGUGCCAUCAGCAUCAGGUGUGAGGGAAAGUCCAUCUCGCCCUCCAUUUCCGAUCGCGGAUGAUCCUUUAUCUGCACCGUCUCUGGGAACCCCUCCCGUCUCCAGUGAGUAACUGUCGUACUGUACUCGGAGCACACAGCAGCACAACCGUGCCAGAGUCUGGCAGACACCGAGCUACUUCCAGGGCAGAUUUGCAUCUAUGAAUGUUGAGGGAAGUGCAGACACGUCUGUGAUGUGUAGCUCCUCCCGUCUGUGGGCACAAGAACCUGCAUGUUGGAGGAAGAGGAGAACUUAGACACACCCUGAGUCAUCUCCGUGCACACAGGAGCUGGAGGCGCAGAGAGGAACCAGCUCCAGCCUGGCUGAGAUGUCUUUGUACUCCAAGAUCAGCUGUGGACUCACAACCCUUUGAUGAUGGAGCCACUUCCCCGCAGGAAAACACCAGCACCUACAAUCCAUGCAGGCCUCAGCUCCUGGCCCCCCUUCCAUGGCCUCUCUCCCAGUUCUGAGAGAGGGCCCCCUGAAUUCCCACAGUUGACUUGGAGCUUGAAAUCUGGUCCCAAUGAUAUUUCUGGAAGGUGCCAUGGCUCCAGUGAAAGAAGCUACUUCCGGGCCUGGGGAUUUAGCUCAGCGGCAAAGCGCCUGCCUGGCAAGCGCAAGGUCGUGAGUUCGGUUCCCGGUACCAGAGAAAAACCAAAAAAAAAAAAAAAAAACAACAAAAAAAAACAAAAACAGAAAGAAGCUACUUCCAUGUCAGGUUAGACUCAUUUUUUUCCCGCUGAGUGUGAAACCUUGGCUAUGGCUGUUAACUCUACUGGCCUCAUUUCUUUAUUUGUUAAGUCAAGAUCACAAUGCCCGACAUGCAGGGGUUUCAGAAGGAUUAAAU
rnacentral:lncRNA from 1 species